GAACGGGGGCGGGCCGGGGGCGAGCACACGCCCUCGGGCGUGGGGACCUGUCGCCGCUUUGUGCGGGGACCCCGGCCCCCUGCGGGGACAUUCGCGGGGGACACGUUCACCCCACGGGGGAGGGGGACCGGGCCCGGUGCUUGGGGACAAGGCGCUGCGUCCAGCCGGGUGGGGACCGGCCCGGCGUGGGGUGCCCGGUGCGUGUGUGUUGGUGUGUCCCGAGGGGCUGUCGUGGGGCUUCUCCCCUGGCCGUGGGGCAGCUGCCAUGCCCUGCCUGUGUUCUGGGGACAGUUCUUUGGCAUCGUGGGGUCCCAUCCACUCCUGGUGUCUCCCUGCGUUGUGCUAAGUGUGGGGUGAACACGUACACUGUGGAUGUGCCCACGGACAUGUGUGAUCAGCGUGAUCCUGCCCUGUGGGUCUGUGUCAGCCACACGUGUACCCAGAGCUGUGCUCACUUGCACGCUCGUGUGCACCCAGGUGUGUGGGUACCCGCUGGGUGUGUGCAUGUACACCCGCUCCCACGCACCCGGGCCCGUGGGGUGUUCGCAGGAAAUGCGGGUGCCACGUACGUGAGCUCCAGGGUGUGUGUGAGUUCACAUCGGGUUCACGUCCCCGGGGUUAUCCGCUCGCUCGGAAAUAGGCAUAAUCAGCAGAUAAAAACGGUGCCCGUCCCGUUGGCGUGGGAGGGAUAAUGGGGUGUACCUGGUGCCCGCUGUGUGUGUCUGGGUGUAUCGCUGGGUGCACACCCAGGGUGGGUCUGCGCAGGGUGUCCCGUUCUCAGGGGUGCCCCUGGCAUGGUCUUUGCCCAUCGAGGAAGGACACAGACCACAGUCUACACGGUGAAUGUGUGCUGGGAAUUCACCUAUGGAUGUGGCAUGUAUAUGCCAUGAUUGUCCUGUGAGUGUGUCCGAGCGUGCCUCUGCCCUGUGGGUGUGCAGCACGCGCCCAUACGUACCCCUAGAUGCAUAUGUUUUUCAGGUAUAUAUCCCCCCAAGGUAUUAAUAUGUAUGCACAUAUAGGAGCACCCAUAGCUGGUUAUCCAUGUGUUCAGAACUGCUUUUGUACUUACAUGUGAAUAGGCAGGCAUAGAUGUAGCUAUACAUCCACUUGCGUAUAUAUGAGCUCAUACGUGCGGAGGUAAGUACGCAGAUACAGAGGUGGGUGUGCUACCCUACAUCCUGGUAUGUGUACAAACAUGCAUAUAGAUGCAUACACACAUACAGGUGUCUACAUGCAUGUGUGACAUAUACUUUUCACAUGCAAGGGAAGUAUACCUGCAAGUUUACGUGGUUAAAUAUCUACAGUGUCUAUAUGUGUCUAUAGCUGCACAAACGCUGACAGAGGUAUAUAUGCACUAAGGUACACCUGCUCUCCUUGGAUGCCUAUGUAUGGGUGCAAAGCAGCACCCGUGUGGAUAUAGGCACCUGUAUGUUACGUGUGCUUGUACCUUUGCACAUCUGCCCACACCCAGUCGUACAGAUGUAAACAUCCUUAUAGACGUAAAUGCAUUCAGACACAAACAGACAGCCCCAUAUGUGUCACCUAUAGACAUCCCCAUUCCUUUGCAUACACAGAUUAUGCAUGUACCAGUGUCCACCUAUAGAUGCACCUACAUCCGCUCUGUGGCUUGCUCAUGUAGAUACACGUGUGCGUUAUACAUGUCCCUCCAGUGGAUGCACCCAUGGACAAAAUCCUCCCCAUAAGGGGGGGAUACGUGUACUUUCCUGUAGAUACAGCCUCCUAUAGAUACACAGGGCCCCCUCCUUGGAUGGCUGUAGAGAAGCACACCUUUUCCACAGAGAUUCCAGAAUUCUUGGUGCCUGGCGCCCUUCCCUUUGGAAAUCUCUGGAGAAGGAGUUCUCCCCCAUGACACUAGAGCCUUUUGGGGAAUGGAGGGGAAGGAGCGUCCCGGUCACGAGGGAAACCUCCUUAUGGGUUAAACUCGGGUGAAGACUUUAUCUCCAUAUUGCUGGACUUCCACUCUCCUUCAUGUUGCUGUGGUAUUUCCUCUCUCUUCAGAAGGCCCAGGAUGAGGGAGUUUGUUCCCAUAACCGUGGUGUCCCUGAAACUGGAGUCUCUCCUAGAGACUGUGGGAAGCAGCGUGUCCCUGUAAGGUGACGUCUGCCCAAGAACAGGGGCUGGAUCAAGGGCUCCAUCAUCCCUUAGAAAUCCCUCAUGGGGGGGUCCAGUUCCGCCAUAAAGGACAUUUUUCUGCUAAGAUUGUGACUCUGUCCCCAGUGUCUGGAGCCCUGUCCAUUUGAUGUCUUAAUCCCAUCUCAAUUUUUAGAGACCCUCAGGGUAUCCAUAUCCUCAAGUGUGCUUAAUGCUUCUAAACUCCUCCCUUAUUCCCCUCCUCUCUUGUUUUUUUUUGUUAAACAACAUAAAGAUGUUUUUCCUUACACCUUCUCCUGAAGUCCAGCUCCUGUCACAGCGUCAGACGCCACAUUUGCAUCACUAAGUCUACAAGGGGAAUAUUGAUGGUGGGUGAUGGGAUCGUUAUCUGAAAACAGCUUGAAGGAACCCGCAUCUCUCUCGCUGAAUACUCCUCAGAGUGCCAGAGGAUGCUUUGUAAGAAUUUGUUUAGGAGCUGACAAUCUGUCUGGUUGCUAAAGGCAGCGAGAUGUGUUGAUGGAGGGUAUCUGGGAGUACAUACUGUUCCUUCUCCUCCUUUUCCCCCCAUACUCUUGUUUUCCAGUGACUUCAGUGCGUACGUUCCAGAGAUUCAAGAUGUUUACACAUCCCAGAUUUACAAACCUGGAGUCCUUUCCGCCGUUUCUUAGGAAGUCGUGUCAUUUAAAUAAAACACCAGAUUUGGGAGCUGUAAGGAUUGUUCCCAGUCCUGUGGUUGAAAAAUUGGGCACGCGGAGCUGAAGCAUCUGGUGAAGGGUUUAGUACAAAAAUAAGUCUAAAAGAAGCAGAUAAAAUUUUUAGUCGAAUCUAAUAGAAUUUUCCUUUAGGACCUGAAAUAAAGGUAAAGGUCUGUUUAAAAUAGAUAAGCAAGAUCAUGUCAAAUUUGUAGUGAAAACAAUUAAACUGUGUGGUUCUUCACAGAGCUUUCCUGGAAUAAAAACAUCUUGGUAGUUUUUUCUUGACUGGGUUCUAUAUUAAAAAUAUUAUUUUCUUUCCUUUUUGUUUUUUCAUUUCCUUGAAAUUUUACCCUGUGUUCCUGCCACCAAAUGUUUGUUUCGUAGUUUUGACACGAGCACAAGAAUUGGCAGUAAAUCGCCACGGCUGUUCUUUCCUCCAAUACCACUCUCCUUUUGGAAUGUAUUUUACAUUGCUUUAGUGUUUUACUUAUUCUUGUCUGCCUUUAGAUGUGCUAAUUAAUAUUUCACCCUGGUAGGGUGGGGACGGUACAUGUGCCCAGACUGGCAAGCGUUAAUGACAUUGCGUGUUUGUGUUUUUAUUUAUUUGUGCGAUUGCUUCAUUUUGUUGUGAUAUUGAUGCGUAGACCUGAUUCUGCAGCCUCGCGCACCUGCCUGUACAAGAAAUGUCGGCGCUCCUGCGAACCCAGAGCUCGAAGUCAAGGCCGCCGGGCUCGUCUUCGCGACACCUGCGGGGGUGGCGCCCGUCAGAUCCGAGUGAAGAUCUUGGUCAUGGUGUUUUUGUUCUCGUUGGGUUCUUGCUGUAGAUCCGCGUUCUCACGAUGUGGCUGGAAGGCCUCGCUCUUCAGGUGAUGUUGGGCUUGGCUUUUCUGGUGAGCUGACUAAUUGAUGUGGCUGUGACCUUUGUGGGUGUCUACACAGGUGGGUUUAGCCGAUCCCUCUUGUCCGGUGUUGCUUCAGAGCUUCUGCCUUCGAGAAGGGCUGGUGAGCGGGUCUUUGACCUGCGUCUGAGGCCUGGGCUGGUGGCCUUGAACUUCAGGGCUUGUCCGGACCUUCUUCUGCCUCUCACUGCAUCUCCUGACCCUCUGCCUUCCCCCUCUUGGAAGUUCUCAGUAUGAUUCCAAGAUGAGGCAGCUCAGGGAAGCUCAGACUACAUGAAAUCCCUCACUUUCGGCUGAGUUGGUUGUCCCUUGCGAUUCCCUCCACCGUGGGGUGACUCAGGGGAUGGUGUUUUGUUCUCCCGGCGCGGGGUGAACCGUGUUCCUGAGCAACAGCCUCAGGUGUCCCGGGCUCAACUUAAUCCGUGGAUGUGAGUCAAGGCCCUGAGUCACACAAAUUGUUUACGCUUUUAGAUUUUUAACGGUGUUUUUGGUGAUCAGAUGAUCGCUCGUUGGCUUUGCCCGGGGGGGCGGACUCUUCUGGUUUGUGUUGUUUCUCAGGGCAUUUCUAGAUCAAAGUGACUUUGCACAACUUCUGGUGACGUUGUCAUUGGCGCGUGGGGUGGGAGCUAGUGAGGGGCUGUAAUUAAAGACUGCCAAAGUGAUUAGCCUUGUAAUGACAGCUCUGCGCCCUUCUUUUGCUGAGAGAAGAACAUGUACUUAAACAGAUGCACUUCUUGCUUUAAUGAUUGUUAACUACUUGGCGAGUGAGGCUUAGUAACGGCUCCUACACCACACUGGGCAGUUUGCAGCUACACAAUUGCUGUUUAAAGUUUUAUAUUAAGCAUGUACCAAUUUACAAAAUGAAAGGUUAUUUAUGUGUUUUUUUUGGUCCCAGCCGCUCAGUACUGAAAGCACAGCUCGCUCCUUGGAUUUCAAGCUGUGUUCUUUGCUCUUUAGCAUCAUUAAACUGGCGGUUUUUAGAACUGGAAGGUUUGUCGGUGCUGUUGUCGGUGUUUGAUUUGCAGGUUUGUUGGAGCUGUUGGUUCAUUUGGAAAUGAGCACGGUUGCUUUUCCAGCCCUGCAGCGCCCGUAGAAAACUGUGGCUUUUGUCUGCGGCCCAAGCAGAAAAAGCAGAACAUAGAGGUGUCCGGUAACGAGGCCGUAUCCUUCUGUAACGUCACCACUUCGGUAUAACCUUCCUACGGCUCCCGGCUGUAGAAUUCUCCGGCGAAGUGAUUCCACGGCAAUAAAUGCCUGGUGCUCAGCAGACUGGCACAUUCCCCGACCGGCGGAGGUUUUAUUCUGCUGCCGCGGUGAACGACUCUCUUGUGGCUCGUCUAAAUGACGGCUCUGACCUUGGCUCCCAGCAGAUUUCCUCGCCUGCGAGAAAACGCAGCUUUUUCCUUUGUAAACAUCUGUAAAUCCCUUGUGAUGUCCCCACAUCCCUUUGUGGGGCGGGGGGAUUUUUCGGCAGGUGUGCGUUCCGCUAAAGAUUUCUUACGCGCUCGUGUGUUGGUUUUUAUUUUCUCAGUUUCGUUCUAACCCCUGGCGAUCACUUAUGCCAGGUAAUAAUUGUUUCCCCCAAGGCUGAAUUCCCAAGUGUUGCUCCUAAUGAGCGCGAUUUGAAUGCUAUUUAGGAAAAUCUUAUCACGGGAGGCUGUAUUCUUUUAUUAUGUAUAAUAAUCUUGGGCCUGUCUCCCGAUGAAUGUACGUAGUUUAAUUCUAGAAGGUGCCUGCGUGUGGCUGCUUGGGGCUGGGUGCGCAGAUCAAUGUGUCAACCUUUGCCAUGGAGGCUCGGGAAUGGAAGAGAAGAUAAAGGAAGAUUGGGGGAAAAAGUGACAGAAAAUUAAUGGCUGUGGAUGCGCGAUUAUAAAACACAAUGAUGUGGAAAUGAGAAGCCGGAGUGCGGUUCAGGGGACCUCAGACUUGGUGGGAGGCUGAGGCACCGGAUCCCUGUUGCUUUGCUGGGGAAAAAGAAAAAUGCUGAACCACAUAAUGAUCUUUGUGUUUGUGUCUUUCCUGGGGGAACAGAAACCUGGUAUUUGAAUUUACAAGCAAUUAAAAGCGUAGUCUUUGCUUUGGCCCUGACUUGACGCUUGAUAGAUGAGCGAGGUGAAGCAAUUGCGACUUCAGGAGUCAUGUUUGACCUUUUCGGCUUUUCUUUUUAACUCUGUCUGGUGAGUUGUAAAACAAUGUGAUGAUUUACCUCAAACAAGGAAGGUAAAAGUAAAAAGAAAGGGGUGUAGCUCAGAUUAACAGGCAGAUUUCCCCAUGUGACCAAGCGACCUGCAGCAGUGAUGAAAUUGGAAGAAUGCUAAAGACUGAAAGAAUGGAAUGAAUCGGAAUGAAUCCAAAUGUUCUGCAGAGCUACCGCAGUGGUAGGGUACAAAAAAUACCCGCUUCAUUUUCUUCUUUGGUAUUUGUUUUCUUCACUUUUGCAGAUUCAAACCAGAGACCCAAGCACAGAACCCCAGUCAUGUGAAGGAAAACUCCUCCCCAGGCGCGAUGGUUGACGUCCCGUUAAAUCCCCCUCUAGAGAGAUGAGCUGUAGGCAAGUUGUUGAUGGAUGGAAGAGACAGAGCCUGAAAAAUAAGGUGCAGGCUGUAAAUAAAAAUACAGGGUGCUGCUUGAUUUAUCUGCGGCGUUCUAGGGCUUCAUGUGAGCACCAAACUGGCAGGAAUUAAGGGUGAAAUAAGCUUUAAAUUUCUUGCAUAAACCCCUCCAUGCUCUUGUCUGCUGUUAAGGGCAUUUGUAGCAAAACUAUAUCCCACUGAAAUGCCACAAUUUCAGCCUAGGGAAGCCAUGAUAAAGUUCAUCUCUUCCUUUCUUCUCAAGGGGCUACUGAUGUCGGUCAGUUUUAUAAAUCCAAACAUAAGGUGGGGAGUCAAACUGGGUCUUUCUGGGAGCAGCCGCUGGACACAGACCCUGCAAACAGAAAGGGCAAAAUUCACAGUUGUAGUUGCAAGAGCUUCAGUUAGAAGCUGCCUUCUCAAAAUUAAGGUGAAAUGUUGCGGUGAGGUGAGGAGGAGAGGAGGGUUAGUGAAUUCUGUUUGCGACGUGCGGCCGCGGGGGAGCUGCGCGGUGCCUCCAAAGGCCGGGCUGGAAAGCGAAAUUCAGUGUGUUUGCUGGAUUAAGCAGAAGAAUUUCUGGGCUUUAAGCUUAAUCCACCUCUGAAGUGGGAGACGUCUGUAAGUGAGAGAAUAAGAGUGAGGAACAUGGAACAGUCGUUCUUCAGGGAGCUUUGGAGAUCCGAGGUCAAAGGUUUUAAGGAAAAAAGAUGAUUUUAUUGUAAGAACACUUCUCAACUCACCAUUUUUCCGCUUAAGGUCUCGAAGCAGUAAAUGCUGUCACGCUCGUGCCCACUGGUUUUGUGCGAACACCUUUAGAAAAUGUUUGUCUUGUUUCUAGUUAUAUUUUGGGGAGGCGAAUAUUACCCAAUUGUGUUGGUUUGGCAUUUUUUCCAUCACAAAUUGUGCAGCUUUUCCUGCAGGCAGAGCCGUGCGUGAACCAUUGGCUUCCUAACACAACUUCGAAACUCCAGAUAUUUUGUAGGUGCAGCUCAUCUAAUCUGUGCUAAUUCUGAAAUACAAUCCCUGGAGGGAAGAACAUUGAGAUUGAUCAGAAGUUAUAACUUCUUAUUCUGCAAAAGUGUACAUGAAGCUGAUUAAAUUGGCCUCCUGAUUUAUGGUGCUCCUACAUAACUAUGAGCUUUCAUAUGGUUUGUGCUGUAGAGAGAACCUUUAACUCUUAUUUUAAUUUAUUGUAGUAUUAUUGGAAAAUACAUGUAUAGCUAUAUAAAUAUGUAUAGAAAUAUUUUUAUUAUUUGUUUUUAUAUAGGAUAUAUUUAUUAGUAGUAGAAAUACACACAGAUGGCUCAUGUUGCUAAAGAGCAGAGGCUCCCGUGUGACUUUGCAGAGGCCUCGGUGACCAGCACUGAACUGACAUUUGCAGGGACCUCCCUGAGAAUCGAAUGACACGGUCGUGCUUGCGUUCUGUUCAUGUCCGAGGCCAAAGGCUUUUCUGCAAAUAUAACAUCGGGGCACUCUGGAAUGAGCAAGGAGAAGCGAGAAUUGAGAAUUUAACGUCCUUCUGCACCCUCAAAAAAACUCAUCGUAGCACUGGAACGCUUUGGAAAGUAUUGUCCAGCUUCUGCAAGACAUCACCGCGUUGCCUCAGGUUUGUAGACGGGGAUUUGAUGCGCUGAAAUGAAAAGAAAUGGUUACUAUAUUUGGGUUUUCUGCUGUGAAGUGGAGAAGAUCUGAACCUUUAUCCCCAGACGUGCCAUUAUUAGGUAGGGCCGUCACUGAAGUCCCCGCUGCCCGCGGUUGGAGCCGCGAGUGCUCAGCACUUCUCAAAGCUCUGGAUCACGAGCCAUGGAAAAAAACCAGCAUGAUGAUCUUGUAUUUCAUGGCCAGAUGUGAGACGUUGACUGAGGGCGUUUUGCCUCGGACAUGCCUCAACCAACGCACAUGCCGAAUUGGUCAGAAAUGAGUCAUUUAAUGGUUUAUUCCUUUUUAUUUUUUAUCCUUUUCUGCCAUCCAUCCACCUGGAGCUCCGCUCUGUCUGCACCUGCUUGCGCAAACUUGCCCGGAGCGACUCUGGCGAAGAAAAAUACAGGAUUUAAUUACAUCGAGCAGCAUUUAACGGCGUAACCAAAGCCCCUUGUUCUUCUGGAAAUCUCCUGUCUCUGUGUUUCGCAGCUCCCUGAUGGGAAGCAAAACAUCAUUAAGUGCAGAGUCUUGAAUCUGGGUAGAACAACCCCAGGUUCCAGUGUAAGUUGAGGGAUGACCUAUUAGAGAGCAGUGUAAGGGAAAGGGACCUGGGGGUCCUGGGGACAGCAGGGUGACCAUGAGCCAGCACUGGGCCCUUGUGGCCAGGAAGCCAAUGGUACCUGGGGUGGGUUAGAAGGGGGUGGUCAGUAGGUCAGAGAGGUUCUCCUGCCCCUCUGCUCUGCCCUGGGGAGACCACACCUGGAAUAUUGUGUCCAGUUGUGGCCCCUCAGUUCCAGCAGGACAGGGAACUGCUGCAGAGAGUCCAGCGCAGGGCAACAAAGAUGCUGGAGGGAGUGGAGCAUCUCCCGUGUGAGGAAAGGCUGAGGGAGCUGGGGCUCUGGAGCUGGACAAGAGGAGACUGAGGGGGAACUCAUUCCUGGGGAUCAAUGUGGAAAGGGGGAGUGUCAGGAGGAUGGAGCCAGGCUCUUCUGGUGACAACCAGGGACAGGACAAGGGGCAAUGGGUGCAAACUGGAACACAGGAGGUUCCACUUGACUAUGAGAAGCAACUUGUUGGGGGUGAGGGUGGCAGAGCCUGGCCCAGGCUGCCCAGGGGGGUUGUGGAGUCUCCUUCUGUGCAGACAUUCCAACCCGCCUGGACACCUUCCUGUGUAACCUCAUCUGGGUGUUCCUGCUCCAUGGGGGGAUUGCACUGGAUGAGCUUUCCAGGGCCCUUCAACCCCUGACGUUCUGGGAUUCCGGGAUUCUGUGAUCAGCAACGUCAAACCUUGAAAUCAUGUUCCAUCCGCUGAUGGAGGAAGGUUUUGCUGAAAGUGAUGGUGUGUCGGUGCCUUAAUUUGCAGCCUGUGUGACUUCAGGUUGAGGGAACAACCUUCUUACUUUAUUUUUGCCGAGCUUUCCAGCCUUGAUAUUCUGAUAUUCUAUUCUGAUAUUCUAUUCUGAUAUUCUAUUCUGAUAUUCUAUUCUGAUAUUCUAUUCUGAUAUUCUAUUCUGAUAUUCUAUUCUGAUAUUCUAUUCUGAUAUUCUAUUCUGAUAUUCUAUUCUGAUAUUCUAUUCUGAUAUUCUAUUCUGAUAUUCUAUUCUGAUAUUCUAUUCUGAUAUUCUAUUCUGAUAUUCUAUUCUGAUAUUCUAUUCUGAUAUUCUAUUCUGAUAUUCUUAAUAAAUAUGUAUUUUUAGCAUUUUGCGAUGAGAAAUGUUUGAACGCUGCUGUGUGCUGACCUUACUUUAAAUUGCAGAGGUAGCAUUGUUGGAACUCCAGGUAUUUUUUCUUUUAGUUCGUGACAGAGCUUUAAAUAGGAGCCGCUUGCAUUUUUCAUGAGCGUCAGAAAGAGGAAAGUCAGCUGAAAAAUGAGCUCGCUCCCCAGAACCGCUCUUACUGCACAUUUGAUCCCCAGAGCAAGCAUUGAAAAGCAGGAGCAGCACCAACACGCCUUUGUCUGACAAUUAGGAAACUUUACUUGGUGAAGCGAUCGCCGUCUCAUCCCAAAGUUACGCGAGGAAAACCAGGGAUGGACGGUUCCCAUCAAAAUGACUCAAGGCCCAAUUUAGGCGAAUAACUCACUGUGGUUCACGCUGGUAUCUGUUCCCAGGAAACUUUCCUUCCAAAAACUUGCUGGCUCCGAUUUGCUGUUCUCUCCGUGACUUUGGUGUUUCUGGAGGUGGGGAAAUGUGCUUGGAUCCUUUUCAGUAUCGGCUCAGAUGGGUUUUGUUGUUUGCAGAAUGCGCUGGCUGGUGUUUGAUGUGGAUUGUUUUGAAAGCCAACUGUCUGCAUUCUGUGCUGAGAGAUCGCUGCUGCAGUUCCCAGGAUUUCGCAUGCACCGGUUCGGUAUUAACCAGAGCGGUUUUCUGUAACACUAAACUGUAAUUGUUCUACUUUUGUGUCACUGAAUCCCAGUUCAGGCUUCGCUGUCUGCUGGUAGUUUGUCAGAUUUGAAGAGUCAAUAAUAUGCAUUUUAUAUUCGAGCAAUGUAAAAGUUGUUUCUCUUGAAACUUGUUUCAGGUGCAUGAGGUCUUGUUACUUUUUUGUGCUUGUAGGAGUACGUUGAGGCCACCACUGACACUUGGCUUCCUGCGAUGGAAGAUGUGAUGGAAAUGAAAACGUUUCUGUGCUGCCUUGGUUUGUCCAGCUUCCCUUUGGCUGCUCCGGAGGCAGCGAUGGGUUGUGGAGGUGUUGGACCGAGGUUAAGACCAGGGCCCAAGGAGCAAUAUUUCAGAGAUACUCGGUGUGUGUAUUAUUUUUGUCUAAUUGUGAAUGGUGACGAGCCACCCGGCAGGUUCAGGCAAGCAGCCGGAGGAGCCGCACGCAGAUACCUGGUGAACCGUCGCUUUGUUCUGUGCCCCGCGUGGGCGCUUGGUUUGCCGUGCGGUGUGGAUGCUGAGGAGGUGACAAGUUCACAGGCCUUAGUGACAUUGGCUGGAACCGUUUGGGGAAUUGAUCUUCUGCUAGACCGGGUCUGAGAGUCAAGGCGUGCAGUCGCGAUGCGUCACACUAAACCAGAGCAGGGAAAUCAGUUUAAAACCAAACCAAACGACAAACUGAAACUCAACGACAAAAAACCACAAAAAAACCAAACAAAUAUUAAAAUAGAUUAAAAACCCCUGCAACAGGUUGGUCCAAGAGGGAAGCUUUGCUAGGCUCAGGGUUUAGGUGCGAGUUUUUCUGUUGGUCGGGCAGUGUUUCUCUUUGCGAACUUAAACCUGGACUCCAGCCCAUCCUCAGCCUGCAAACCUGUUAGGAAUGGAUUAUCCUUCGAAUCGCGCUGGCCUGAAAAUGGAGCAAAUCUCAAGACGUUAUCGUGGUUGGUGUCAAAUCCUGUGUUUUGUUAUUUCUGUGCACAUUAGAAGAUGCUUAAUUCUGUAAUUCUGAAGGGGAGCGAAGGUGCCAAGAGCAAAGAGCAAGUAUUCAUUGUGAGUUUGUCUUUUUUAUUAAUGUGUCACAGUAUUUUAAUGUGUGAUUUUAAGAUUUUUCUUUUUUUCUGAGGAAAAGUAGGGACUAAUACUUGGAGCUUUAGGGUGAACCUAUGUUGGUCUUUAGCAUUUUGAAAGAGGCAGGAGAACAAUAAUGACUCGUCUUCGAGAAGGAUGGAUUGAGUACUUUCAUUUGACCUUGGUGGUUGGAUGCAACGUCCCAGCUCCUGUCAGUAACGUUAGUGGAAAUGGAUCUUUUGUGGUAGAUACUGCGAAAGUGUUCCCUGAGUGUGCUCUGGCUCCUCUCGCGGUCUGUGUCCGGGCUCCAUGUGUCCUUCAGAAGGAAAGAGAGUCUGGGAGAGCCCAUCAGGGCAGGAGCAACCUGUGAUCCCAGACCUUUCCAGCCUCCUGAUCUCUUCUCCUUGAGGAGUCAGUGUCUUGGUCUCGUCCUUGGUACCGACCCCCCCCAGACACUUGUUAGUCUAGAAAUGGUUUGUUUGGAACAGCAUGUUCCAUAUUGACUUUGAGCUUUGAAGGAGGUUGGUGUCAUCUUCUGCAUACCUGCCGUUUGUCCUUCUUUGUGGUCUUCUGUGGAGGCCAACAGAAGGGUGACAAUGGCAGGGUGUUCAUAUGCUCAAACCCCUUAUCAUAGGGGGAACGGGAACAGAAUGACUUUUGUUGGAAGAGACCCCCAAGAUCGAGUCCAACCAUAACCCACCCUGUCCCUGCCCCAUGUCCCUGAGAACCUCAUGUCCGUCUGUCCAACCCUCCAGGGCUGGUGACUCCAGCACUGCCCUGGGCAGCCUGUUCCAAUGCCCCACAGCCCUUUGGGGAAGAAAUUGUUCCCACAUCCAACCUCAACCUCCCCUGGCGCAACUUGAGGCCGUUUCCUCUGCUCCUGGCGCUUGUUCCUGGGGAGCAGAGCCCGACCCCCCUGGCUCCAAGCUCCUUUCAGGCAGUUCAGAGAUCAGAAGGUCUCCCCUCAGCUCCUGUUCUCCAGCUGAACCCCCCAGGUCCCUCAGCCGCUCCAUCACACUUGUGCUCCAGCCCCUCACCAGCUCCGUUCCCUUCUCUCCACUCGCUCCAGCACCUCAAGGCCUUUCUUGGCGUGAGGGGCCCAGAACUGCCCCAGGAUUGGCGGUUUGUCCUCCCCAGGUCCCAGCACAGGGACGGUCACUGCCCUGGGCCUGCUGGCCACACCAGUGCUGGUCCCAGCCAGGAUGCUGGUGGCCUCUUGGCCACCUGGGCACACGCUGGCUCAUGUUCAGCCGCUGGCACCAACACCCCCAGGUCCUUUUCCAGCCGCUCUUCCCCAGCUGCAGCGUCCAUGGGGUUGUUGUGACCCAAGUGCAGGACCUGGCACUUGGCCUUGGUGACCCUCAGACAAUUGGCCUCAGCCCAUUGAUCCAGAUCCCUCUGUGGAGCCUCCUGCCCUCAGCAGAUCAAAACUUCCACCCAGCUUGGUGCUGUUUGCAGCCUCUCUGAGGGUGCACUCGAUCCCCAUCCAGAUCAUUGAUAAAGAGACUAAACAGAACUGGCCCCAGUACUGAUCCCUGGGGACGCCUGGAAGCCACAUUAUCCUGCAGUUUGCUCUGCUGGUGCACUCAGAACUCAUUUUCACCUGUUUGAGAUGCAGGAGUGUAAAACUGAAGGAGAUGGAGUAUGGAGCCUGGAAGUCUCGGCUUGGAAAGGAGCGGGUGGCCAAUGCGGUUGGUAUCCUGGUCUGGACAGAGGUUUUGUAGCACAACCUGCGGCCCUGGGGUGUUUGUGUCAGAAGGCAGCUCCCAAGGACUGGAGUUUCAGCUUGUACCGUCUCUUUCCCUGCUUCCCCAUCAGCGUUUAUUAAGCUAUUUCCUUUAGUGCCCAUGGUCUUCAGGGCUCAGGGCUGCUGUGAAGGCCAAACAAGCAGGAAUUUCUCGUCGUAAACCAGUGACUUGUUCAUCUUGCAUCCUUCUGCACAGGUUUCCUUUUUCUCUGUCUGGAUCAAACAUUAAAGGGCAUCAUAUCUUACCUGUUAGAGCCAGAAGUGAUUUUGUACACAGCCAGAAAUGGGAGAUUCCUCUCUAUCAAGUGAUAAAGCACAAGCAGUGUGCCAGAGCCCUGUGCCAAUAUUGGCUUUUCCCCUCUGCUUCUGCUCUAUUAGCACCGCUGGGAUCUGCUCCUCCUGCUCUGAUGGAUGUUGAGAUCUAAGCUGCUGCCACCGAGAGUGAUGACAGGAGAGCUGCAGCUCAGAAGGUGUUUUAGACUCUUUUAAACUGAAAUACCUGCAGUCAUAUGUGGAAAAUCUCAUUUCAAGCUUAAAUAGAAGAGUCAAAUGGGUGUUUUUUUACCACCUGAGCAUUCUUGCCAUCAUCGUUAUUUCCUAAUGUAAGUGUGAAGUUUAACUAGUGGGGUUAAAAAUUCUGGAGCGGAGAAUAACCAAGCAGCAAAACAAAUAGCAGAAGCAGCGCUGAAUACCAGCCUGUCCCUGGUUUUUGUUGAUCAUUCUGCUGUUUUUUCAGGAGCUGAGGGCCAUGGAUGCAAGCUGCAAUCCUCAAAGGGAGACAAAGUAAGAAGGAAGGAAAAGGAAGGAAAAGAUAAGUGAUUUAUCACGCAAUCCGCUUUGUGUCAGUGAAAUUAGGGAUGUCUACAUUGGAAGGUACACUAAACAAAUUGUGGGCGUCAAGUCACAAUCCAUUUGGCGAUCGACUCGUGAUGGUUCUUUUACCUUCAUCUCCGAGCGCAAAAUUAAGGCGACCAAAAUGCCAAGGGGUUAUAAUUCAGUCAAGCAGUGUUACUUUAUUAAUUUGCCCGUAAAGCGGCACACGAUAGAGAGACAGAGUGAGAAAAGAAAGGGGAAAGAAACAGAGACAGGAUGAGCAAUGAGGUUGCGUUUCUCACCAUCCAGUUCCAGAAGCUCCCUCUGGUCUCCGGUCCUGUGGAGUCCGGCCGGUCCUCCGUCGUGGUUCGGGAUCCUCUGGCGGGAAGAUCUUCACCCGUGUCCAUUCUGGAGUCACCGUUUAUGCUUCUUCACCCCCUCGCUCCCAUUGUUUCAGGCCAGUCUGCCUUCAUUUCACAACCCAGGCUCGUGCUGCGCAGGCUCGAAGGAUUCACGCUUUCUUUUGCCAGCGCUUACGUGUCCAGCAUUCAGGGUCUGUCUCUGGUGCAUUGGGUGAGCUCAGGCCCCUUGGCGAGCUCUGGGCGUGCUCCUUGUCAUUGGCCAUUGUUUGGGGAGCAGGUGAGGGACACGUGUGACUGAGGCCGCAGGUGAGAACACAUCUUGUGGACGGCAGCUCUUGUCCCUGGGUCGAAGAGACCCCCAUAACAACAGCUUUCAGGAGGCGGGGGCUGAUUUGGCUGGAGAAGCAGGCAAAGUCCACACAGCAGCCAUUGUGAGCAGGAGCCCCCGUAUCGGAGAAACAGUGCAACACAAUGCUUCUGCUCGGGCCUCUCUCCAAGUCCUUGUCCAUCUGUUCUUUCAGUCAGGGCUUCAGUUCUCUAAGUUCUUGAUGGCGCUGGUCAGGCAAAUACUGCUCCAUCUUCGGACCGACUCUCACAAGCUUCUGCAUCUGCUUUAUCACUAGUGAGAUAUCACAAACUGGACAAAAUUCUCCUUCUGCUUCUCCUUUUGAAGCUGCUGCAGGUCCAUGACUUCGCAGAAAACGGGCUGCAGGGCCAUCGCCAAAGCUGCUGCCGCCGAAGGUCACAUUUUGCUGCUCCUCGGUUUUCUUUUGGAAAAAAUCCUGGAUUUUGGACGUUUAGGGUUGGGUGAGAGAAACGUCAGCUCUUCUGCACACGGCCAGGGAGAGAAAUGGAGCUUCAUCCUGUGGUGCCUUGGAAAGCGCCCGUAUGGACGUUAGUUCAGGAGAAAUCCCGGAGGUUGGGAAGGAGGGAAAAAUUAAGUGAAGAAGAAAAUAGUUCGUAUUUUAAUAGGGAGAAAUAAUUACAUGGGGCUUUACUCUCCUUAAGCGAGCAGUGGGUGGGUGGCCGUGGGAAGCCUCAGUCUUCCAAAAUUCACCUGGAGCCCAAAAGGAAGAUUAGAACAGACUUCAGGCAGUUUCUUAGUCUGGGCUAAGGUCAGCUUUACUUAUUACAGCUGCGCUUAAAUUACAGGAGUGUUUUCCAAACCAUUUUGGACAGUGGUCGAAGAAGAAACAUUUUACAGUCUGAAACCUCUUCCUGCAGCUCCUGGGCUCUCGUGCCGAACUUUCCAGGUUUGAUACUCCAGGACAGUCAUGUCGUUUAUUCUCCCAAUAACCAGGGCCAAUUCUUUUCUGCCCUGAUACGAUCUCAUUGUACUUUAUUUUUCCUUUAGAAGAAAAUUGAGGGGGACCAUGUUUGACUAAACAAAAUAGUAUUUAACUUUGGUUCUGCUCUGGCUUGGGCUCAUCCAGAACUUCCACAUUAAAGAGUGAUGAGCGCUUGCUGGAAAGAAACCACAGAAGCAGCACUUCCCUGAACAAAACAGGGGGUUUGUUUGGGUUUUUAAAAACCUUUUUGCAUCAACAUCCUCUACAAUAAUCCAGGCUUUUAAGUUGGUUUAAAUUGGCUUAUUCAGCGCUAAUGUUAUGCAAGAUUCCUGAUUAGCGGUGCCGAGUUGGAAGUUGUGAGACUACUUGGAGCGAGGAUGGAAUUAAAGUCACCGUGGCAACCAUUAGAAUUAAAAUAGUCUUCCUUGGGCCCUGCUCGCUGCAUUAUGUGGAGCGUUCGGGGGCGAGCACGCUGGUUUUUCGAGGGUGUCUUUUGUGAGGCCUCGGCCUCGCCGUCCCGCCAACCCAUCAGCUCCUCCAGAUUCCUUUUUCCCUGCAAUAUUUCAGCUCUCGGGUCCAGCGUGCACCAAACCGCUCGAGUUUUUCUGAGUAACCGUGAUCAUGUGAAUGUGGGUUCACGGCGCUCGUCUCGCUGGAUGGCUCCAUUAGGUAAUGCAGAGAAUCGGUGCCUAGAAUUCAGGCUCAUUGUACCAACUCCUGGCUCUUGUGAGAAUGCGGAAUGCAGGGUGAGAGUCAGUGCUGGUGUGUCCGUGCUCCGCUGUUUGUGCCGCUGGAAGGCAGCGGAGCAGCACGAGGGGCCGUGAACUCCAGUGCCAAAGCUGGGGUACAAACCUGCUGUAUGGAUUUCAGGAGAACCUUGGGGUGUUGAGCCAUCGUGGUGCUAUUUGCACUUUCAAAACCCAAAGCUUUUUUCCUAUAUUUUUAAGUGAAAAACCACCCAGAGGUUUCUCUUGUUCACUCGCUCGUUCAGCUUUUCCUCCGUUGACCAAUAUUCCUCACAGGUGAUUCCUUGAUUCAUUUUUAAAUGUUCUUCCAUGUGUGGAACAGCUAGUUUGCUCUUCUGCCCCAAACAGGUGCUUUUCAAACAGAUUAACUGUGUCUUUGCCAACAUCUGGAGGAAAGAGAGAGGAAGAAGAAAGGGGGGAAAACGAGGUUGGUGUUUGUGGAUUUAAUGUUAGUUUUUUCCGGGCUGCCGCCCUUCAGCAUUUGCUUCCUCAGGGAUGCUGCCUUAGACUUUUCUGAUGUUAUAGUUUCUCAAGCAGGGUGAGAAUAUUCCGAGAUCCUAUGGUGAUCCUCAAAGGAAUCAUUGCAAGUCGCAUCUGAAAGUGACGCUGUGGCCUGGCUGUGGGUGCGAGGACAGCGCCCCAUCACACGCGGGCUCAUGUUCUUCUCUCGGGAACUCUAAUCCCAAUGGGUGUAAAGAAACUCUAAGGACACGCUAACGCAGCCGUCAGCACCGGCAGUUGCUUUCCGCACGCUUUAUGUUGUAAAUACCUUUCGGACAGACUGUAGCCUGUGAUGUUUAACCUGAAUAUCAGGUUGGUGCAGCAGGAGGAGGAGAAAGAAAAGGAGGGGGGAAUUAAUCAAAACUGGUUUCAAAUCUUGCGUGGAAUUCUCUCGAGAGGUGGAGGAGAAGUCCAGAAACUCCAUCUGUGUCGUGAAGGCUGUUUGAGCAGGAGCUGCGGGUUUUGUGAAAGGAUAAAACAAUAAUGCUGGUGAGGAGGAGGAGGGAGGUUGGAAUAGACCCCUGGGGAGUCUUCAGCCACAAGAACAAUUCUGAACUGAGAAGUGAUAAAGGAAGGAGUGACGGGUUGUAGAUUUAUGUGUUUUUAUGGAUCUUUUUUAUGUCACGGGUAUCGAAACCACUGGGUUGCAGGGGAAGCUGUGGCUUAGAGCAGCUUCUUAUCGAUGACGUUCCUGGUGGGAUGUGCUGCCAUCUGCACCUUCCAGCUUCAGUUUUGGGACACCCGGCAAAGAAAUUCCGCUGUAAAAUAGCGUGAGGUUGAACUUGGAGCUGUAGUAUGGAGCAGCCGGAGAUCUGCAACGGUGCAAGAAACCUUUGGGAGGGAGCUGAGCACAGGAACACAAGCAGCAUUUUGAAAACAAGAAGCAUUUUGAACAUAAGAAGCAUUUUGAACACAAGCAGCAUUUUCCCUUGGAGCAGGUGUGUGUGGAAUGCAAAGAAGCAUCUUCAGAGGUCAGCGCGUCCUUCAUCGCAGCGUUAACAAAGAGCGGAGCAGAUUGAGUGGGUGCCAAGUGGGUCUUUUCGAAAUGGAAACAAAACCUGAAGCUUCGGUCUGGGCAGGUUGUGUGUCUGCUCGUCUGGUUUGUCAAACUGUUUCUGUGGUUACCGAACAAACGAGCUCUUUGCUGCGGGGCUGCAGAUGAGGAUUUAUAUGUGAGUUUAGAGACCUCCAGGUACGUCCCGAUGGUCCAAACUGCUUUCUGCCCGCGGGAAAAGAGGAACAAAAGAGAAGCAAACUGAUGCUUGUGAAGGGAUCCGCUUGGGAUGGUUCAUUCUUCAUCACCAGCAGGCAUGGAAGGGUUGGAGUGUCCGUUCCUAACAGCUUUCACAAAGCAACCCCGACUUGAGUCACUGUUUUCCUGCUGGUUCUCGAGCCCUGAAUGCGGCUCCGAAAGCCUUUUGUUUCUGCGGAGUCGGGUCACCUCGUGAAACGCUGCACCAGGCGGAUUUUGCUGCGCUUGGUUCUUCGCCGUGGUUUAAAACUCGAUGUGCGGGCAGAGGGUCUCACCCAAACGGCAGAGACAAAAAGAACACCUUUCAGGAGCAGGUCUGAACGUGUAUCGUGUGCUGGAUUUGUACGGCGCUGUUUGUGCUCGCAAGACGGAUGGGACCGAAAGCCGCUCGAUGCUCGAGGAGAACUUCUCACCUGGUGUCCCGCCGCGGCUCCUCGUGCCGUUCCAGCUCCGCCUCCCGAAACGCUCGUGUCUCUGCUGAAUCAUUCCCUGCUCCGGAUCGCGUCCGACUUCUCCUGGACACCAACCCAAGGGUUCUCCCUCCCGUGUUCUUCCACUGACCCUACAAACCCCACACGAGCUUCGUUUCUGACCAUCCGGAGAGUUCAAGGGAAGGCUGAAUGUAUCCCAAGGGGUUAGGAAAGAGUAUUUGGGCAUGGAGGGAGUGUUCUCCCACCCGCACCGUGUUCCGCAAUAUCUUUGAGCUUUUAGAAAGGAACAACCCCCAUGAAAAAGGAUUUAAUUAGUUCUAAACCAGUUUUCUUUUCUUUCUUUAAAUUGGUGAUGACUCAGACAUCCAUAAAAGCGCCUGGCAUCCAUCUCCAGCUCUGAAGUUCUAAAAUUUAUUGCCUAUAAAUGUAAUUUUUGUGGGGCUCUCUUAAAGCGGGCUCGGUUUCUUGGAGACGGCGCCUGGCCUCUGGAAUACACGGUGCCGUACGCAGCUUUGCUGGGAGGAUUAAAGGGUUUCGUGCCCUUUGAUUAGAGAGGAUGGUGCCCACACACUGUCCGCAGGCUUUGGGGUUAGAAAUCUGGUUAUCUGCUCACCGCAGGAAAGAUGCUCCUGGGCAACUCAAUGCCGAGAACCUCCUGCGCUUUCCUUUGAAAUUUUCCUUGACUUUUUAUUUUCAAUAUAAACAAGCUGAAACGUUUUCUGGUUUCUCUGCAGCAGCUGCAGCAAAAUGACCACAAGUGAGUCACUGGGCCGCCUGGGCACGUGGAGCAUUUGCAGUGAGCGUUCGUCAUGAUGCAACUUCCACGUUACGUUUUCUGUUGUCUCGUCUGAGCGGGUUAUAGGACACGAGAAAAGCUGCUUCUCUGCUCAAUCACAUGAAAAGUCCAACAAAAGUGUAGUUUUAGGAACGUGGACGAGGGAAGGGCUGGAGUUCAGACAUUAAUGCUCUGAUUCAUCAAGUGAUUUUUGGCCGUGAGUUUUGAAUACUCAUCUCCAUGUGGCAAAAGCGAGUAGGUGUGUGGGGACCUGCUGAACUUCCUGCCGAAACGGAGCCCAGACAAUCGGCUUUUUAUGCUGUCGGGAUUCUGAGCUGCUUUUUUCCCUCUUGUUUAUUUGUUCUUUGUUUCCCGCUCCUUGUCGUUUGUCCGAGGGAACGGUUGAUUAAAGGGGCGCUUUGGUCUCGCUGUUGAGCGGGAGGGAGGGAGCCUGGCUCUCCAUCCACACACUCGACCACGGGCCUGCGGCGAGUGGAAUUUAGUUUAAAAUUUAAAAAAAACCCUUGAAAUUCAUCCUUCAUCCAGGAGAUGAAAGCGUAUGGAUUGUAUCAAAUGAGCUUGUCUUUGAGGUCAGAUCAGUUCUGCUCUUUCCAUGGUUUGUCUGGACUUCCUCAGCUUGGGAAUAACUUUGUUUCUAUCUAUUUAUUAUUUUUGAUUUUUGCAGGCAUGGCAGGAGAUAGAGACAUCCUUUUGACCUUCUUUGCGAAGCAUUUCGAUGCGUUUCAGCCUCUAACUGUCCAUCCCUCGCCCUUGUUGGAGGUGUCGUGAACAAGUGGAUGUGUCUUGGCCUCUGUAACUUAUACCCCAGCACUUUAAAUUGACAUCACCAACAUUUUAUAAGAACUUAACAUGCUGUUGAAACGCUGGCCGAGUCUCUGGUGGGAAUGGUGAUCUCGGGUGGAAAUCUGGGUCUAAAAACCAUUGUUUUGUGUUGGUAAGAACCUUCUUCCCUCUUUGUCUUCAAGUUGGGCAAGACCGUUGGAUCUUCUCAAUGAGUUAGUGCUGCCCAAAGGAGAUCUCCCUCGUCCUUUGGUGCUUCCACACCCUCCUUGCUCCUUCAUUUCACUAGGAAGCCUCGCAAAAAAUGUUGGACAAGUUGAAUGGGUUCGGAAAGGGAUCUAUCAGAUGCAGAACAAUUGCCACAUGGUCAAGAGAAGAGGAGGAGGAAGAGCAAUCUUUCCCUUUGGUGCCACGGAGCGGCUGGAUUGGAUGGCGCAGCCUCACAACUUGAUUUACGGUAUCCCUGAAGUGAUUUGACGCUGGUCUUUAUGGUUUCCCCGCUCGCGUCUCCAUAAGUGUCAGCGAAUUAGGAAAGCGACUCUCGUCAACGAAAUGAGGACGGCAGGUCCUGGACAGAUCCAUUCGAGUCGUGCCAGAAAGAACUGGGAAAGUAUCCCGGGCAAAUGUCAGUUUUGAAAUAGCGGGUUUUCCUUAUCACACGGUGUCCUUUGGCCUCUUCUUCCCGGAGAAGUUCGGCUGUGUCUGGGUUCUGAGAUGGCUUUUUAAUGCACAUGAAGUCCUGGAAGUGUCAAACUUCACUGUCUUUACUCAGUUUCUGAGGAGGUUUUGACCAGAGGAAAAGAAAUGUGAUAGGACAUAUUUCAGAAACAAAUAAAACAGAGAGAACAAGAGCAGAAAACCACUUUAAAAGCACCUUUUGAGCGCAUCACAAUACAUCAGGGUGGAACCUGAGUCAAUCGCUGGAAAGAUUUUGAUCCCAUGUUUGUUCUGAGGCUUUCACUGAUCGGUUGCUUUAGGUCAUUUUCUCCAUGUAAGAUGUAUCUAGGUUAUCAAAUGUCUACAGCAGGUGGAAGGAGCGCCCAGCAGAGACCCGCGCACGUCCCGCCAUGCCAGACGGAGUAACGGCUGCGUAUUUGAGCUUUUAUUUUAAUGCCGCUAAGGUUUGCAUCGUCAUUUGUCAGCCGGGACCCUGCUCGUAUUCAGCAGUCGCAUUGUCUAUGGCUUUGGAUACGCGGGUGGCUACUUGGAUAUAGACACAGCAUGUCUAAUAUUUGGGUCUUAAAGUAACUUUGAGCUGAUUUAAGGUGGAGUAGGUGCCUUAAAUUUUUGCUGGGGGAUACUGGGAGUUGGGACGGGAGAUCCAGAGCUUCGGAGGCUUUGGGGACCUGACUUCCCAAGGAAUGGGGAGAACAGGGUCAAGACGUCCGACCCAAAGAUCUGGGUUGUUUCCACUCACAGCUCAGGAACCGCCUCAACCAGCUGCCUCACCCCAGGGAAUAAGAUCCAUUUGGAGCUUAUAUUUAUUUAGAUCCCUGCGCUGGAGCCCAUUUCUCAUGAAUACAGAGUGGUGGAAGGGAGCAAAGUGCAGGAACACAUUUGGGUGUUAUUGCUCCGUUUGAAAAGCCAAGGAAUGCCUGAAUUUAACACUGUACCAUUCACAGCGGAUGAACAAGAUUCCUCAGCGAGAAGCGGCUUCUCGGAGGAGAAUUGUCCUCAGUUAGGAGACAGGAGGAACCAAGGUCACCCCCACAAGUGUCUCUGCUUGGGGUUGAACCAGCACGGUCUAUGGAUAGAAACCAUAGGAAUUACGUGGUUAAAACCCCCUUGAAAAACGAUCAGGAAUUGUGUGCAAAGCACAGGGCUGGACUCAAUCCGGAAACUCUUAAAUGUGUAUAUGGGAACGGGGUUGAGGUGGCUGGAUGGAAACCACCUUAAUAAAUGACUUCAUGCUGAUUUUCCUCUAUUUUCCUCUACUUCUUCCAUACAUGUUCUUCAUGUCCGAGUCAUUCUUAGGACAGUAGUGUUGCUGAGGUGUUAGCGCAGCCCUAAUCUCAUUGUAGCGUCCUGAGUCCCAGACAUCACCUCCUGAUACCCCAAAAUUACAUUUUCCCCUCUUGGUCAGGCUCGCUCUGGCCUGACCAUCUUCUUAUCGAUCUUUUCAUAGUGUCUUAAUCUGAUUUUUCUUUUAUUUUUAGGAAAAAACAUACAUUCUUAGCCGGCAAAAGGCAAUUUCUGCUUCUAGUGAUCUGGGCUUUACUCCUUGUACUUUUGGAGCCCUUAGUACCAGUUGGUUUUGAUGUUGAUUUUUUAGUCUUUGGCCUUGUCAGGAUCAGCAAUUAAAGUGCCAUUGGCGCUUAUCAGGUGAAUAUUUGUCAUUAAGAUGGAAUUUAAUGCUUUACAUGAUUCUAAAGUCUCCAGUUGCCACCAACCCAAGAGAUGAUUUUUUAAAGAUGUUCCACGCUGGGAAUAACCCGUAUCAUCCAUUUUUCCAUAAAUCCCCAAUAGUACCCCAGUUAUUUUAUUCACCUGUGGAUUUCUAAAGCUUCUUGUUGGAUUUGUUUGCGAAUAUUGGUUAUCAUCAUUAAUUAUUGUUAAAAGAGCCCGUGGAGCAAUUAGCCAAGACAAAGUCUUUGCUUUUCCUUCUCUGGACAUAAAUGAUUUUCCAAUUAGGAGCGAGUCUGCCGGGAAUCACAGGGGGUUUGUGGGUGAUAAACGCGCCUGCUUCUUGAAACUUGCGGUGAUUUAUGAAAAUAAACCCUAAAUAAGGUGAUUGCCAAAGUCUUGGGCCCAACAGCAUCUUCUCGGUCGCACAAAACACAGCGAGAUAAUAGUCCUGGUGUUGUGCCGGAUUCAUUAUGAGACGUUUGUCUUCACACGCAGCCCUAACGGCCUUCGGGGUCAUUACAAUUUCAUGAAAGCGAUGAGGAGGAGGGAAGGACAUAUUUGAUUUGGAGCGGGGGGUUCGGGAUGCUCCGGGAGAUGUGGCACCAGCUGCUUCAAUGCCAGCCCACCCAAACCAAGUUAUUCGAAUCUGGAGUAUCGAAAGCCUGGGAACGCAAUUAUUAUUAUCAUUAUUGUCUGGAAAUAACCACGUGACGGGUUCCCGGAGCAAACGCCUCCAUCUGCGGCCUCAGGAAACGGGAAUCGUGUUCCAAGAGCCAGCUCGACGCUGAAAUGCUGGAGGUUUGGGCGCGGGUGGUGCUGCUGGAGAUGGACACGGUGUGCGACGAGCACGAGCUUCUCUGCCCUUAGCGAGUUCUUAUUUCCGAAUUUAGGGAAAAUAUGUAAGUUCCCCCAAUAGAAGCGUUGUAGGAAGGAGCUGGCAUGGGGAAGAGGUGCUUUUACCGGGGCAGGUGUUGGAGAAUUGCAGCCAGGAGUGGCGUGUCUGAUGGCUCCGCUCUUUUUUUCCACCCACUCUUUUUCUUCCUCCUUUUCUUUCCUCCUUCCUCCUUUUUUUUCCUCCUUCACCCUUUUUUCUCCUUUUCCUUCCUUCCUCCUUAUUUUCCUUCCUUCUCCUUCUCCUUCUCCUUCUCCUUCUCCUUCUCCUUCUCCUUCUCCUUCUCCUUCUCCUUCUCCUUCUCCUUCUCCUUCUCCUUCUCCUUCUCCUUCUCCUUCUCCUUCUCCUUCCUUCCUUCUUUCCUUCCUUCCUCCUCCUUUUCCUUCCUUCCUCCUUUUCCUUCCUUCCUCCUCCUUUUUCCUUCUUCCUCCUUUCUUCCCCCUUCCUCCUCCCUUCCUCCCUCCUCCCUUCCUCCCUCCUCCCUUCCUCCCUCCUCCCUUCCUCCCUCCUCCCUUCCUCCUUCCUCCCCCUUUCCUUCCUCCUUUUCCCUCCUGCACUUCGGCGGUUUGGAGCCUGGAGAUGGUCCUCUCUCCCCUUUGUCCCGUCCCCGCCGAUGUCCGGCAAAGCGCCGCCCUUCGCAUUCCUGAGACGUUGGACUUUGCCAAACUUGAGGAUAGAAUGGAGGAGCAGCCCCUCCAGCCUCUGAUUUGAGCAGCUUUUGGUGCUCGCACCAGCACGUAGCGCAACGGGCCUUCUCUGCAGCUUCAGCCGCUUCAGCUACAGCUGCUUUGUUUCUCUGGCAGAUCCUCCAGACAAAUAUUUUUGGGAGGUUUGUCGCUUUGUUCCAGCAGCAUCUGCUGCUUCGCUCUCGGCUCUGACGGUCCCAUCUGCAUCUCCACUGCAAACCCCGGCUCCACGAGUCUCUAAACGCGCCGUAAACCUUCUUUAAGAAGAAAUUAGGCAUCUCUUCUCGCCCAAGGUUCCCGCUGGCUCUGCAGUCGCUGUUGUACACGCUGGCUGUGUAUCUGCCCUCCAGCUAUGGUCAGUAGAGCCCGGAGCUGAAGCUCUCAUGAAAAUCAGCUUUGUGAAAACCAUUUCGUAAGUAGCUGGUAAAAACAACCCCAAAGCGUCUUCAAAGCAUCGGCACGCGGUACAGAUCUGAGAAGCACAGAGCACCGGAGCCAAAUUCCGCCCUAGAAUACAGCCGGGAAAGCUUUCGAGGCUUUAAAAAGGGCUGGAAAUGGAAGAUCUGGCCCCAAAUUGCAGCUUGGUCCUGCCGGUUGUGGGGCGAUGCCCAUGAAUGCUCAGAAUCCCAACAACCAACCUCAUUAUCUGUAGUAAAUAACACAGCACAACAGCCUGUUGAUCGCCUUUUCCGUUUUAAAGGACAAACCUCUAUUUAAAUACAAAAUAAUCCUUUUUCACGGGCUUUGGCCACUUUUCUUUGGUAACAGAAAUACAUUGAAAGGAUAAAUAACAAAACUUCGAGCAACAGAGUGCAAAGUCAACCUGGAGAGAGGAUGUGAAUGAAGAUAGAAAGGCCAAUGAGUUUAAUGUUUAUUUUCUACCUGCUUUGUAGCAGCUGAUUUUCUUUAAAUGAACCUCAUGCUGAUGAGCCGGGGGUUUCUCCAAUGUUCAUUUCUUUCCUACAUCUUUCCAGCAAACUCUGCGUCAGCAUAAACUUUGUGUCUUGAAAUGGUGCAAACGCAAGAAAAGGACAGAAAUGUGCUUGUUUUUAACUCUGGGGUUUAACCGCAGCAGAAUUGUUAAUAUCACCUGCUCUAAGAAAUCUUGGCUGUAGGGUGGAGGUGACUGUGUUGAGAGCCUGGAAACGGUGUCGCUGGGGGGGUCUGAGUGUUGAGUUUUUAAUAAACGUUGAACAAUUGCUGCAAAGCUCAGGGAUGUGGCGAUUUCCAUCCUGCGGCAUCCAUAGUUCGGUUGGAGAAAGGGAAGAAGAGCUUAAGCACUGCCUUCGUGUUCUAAGGGCAGGGAAAAAUGUCAUGAAAUAUAACCAGGGAAAGUGUGGAGUCUUGAAUCUGGGUAGAACAACCCCAGGUUCCAGUGUAAGUUGGGGAAUGAGCUAUUAGAGAGCAGUGUAGGGGAAAGGGACCUGGGGGUCCUGGGGACAGCAGGGUGACCAUGAGCCAGCACUGGGCCCUUGUGGCCAGGAAGCCAAUGGUACCUGGGGUGGGUUAGAAGGGGGUGGUCAGUAGGUCAGAGAGGUUCUCCUGCCCCUCUGCUCUGCCCUGGGGAGACCACACCUGGAAUAUUGUGUCAAGACUCUACACUUGCCCUUGUUCUAUUUCAUUACAUUUUCCCUGCCCAGCUCUCCAGCCUGUCCAGGUCUCUGAUGGCAGCACAGCUUCCAGUGUCACCACUCUUCCCAGCUUGGUGUCAUCAGCAAACUGGCUCAUAGUGCACUCUAUUCCCUCAUCUUUUUCACCUCUAAAAAGCGUAGAAGACCGGAGCAGAUGAACAGGCUGUGCUCUGGAUAGGAAAACUCUUUGGGUUGUCUUUAUUUUUCCAGGGUGCUUCUCAUUUCGUCCCACGGAGGCUCAUUUAGGGCCCAGCGUCACCCCAGCCUUCGCUUUAACUAUUAGAGGGAGAAGAUUGUGCAAGAUCUCGCUGUCCAUUGUAUUUUAUUUGAGUAAGAGCUGCUGCAGUGGACGAGGUAUUAUCCUGUAUUAGCUCCCUGCCAGAAGACACCAUUUAUCAUUGUGAGUGUGAUGAAUCCGCAGUUCUGGGUUCACCAAAGACUGUUCGGUAAACGUUUCGCAUCCAUAUCGUACAUUGGAGGUGAUGAAUCGGAGCUUAGAGCACGGAGGCUGCGUGAGCUGCAUUUGUUUCGGCAUUUCAGCAGUGUUAACCCUUUCAAAAGGCUACUUGACGCUGUGGUGGGCUUUUGGGAAAAUAAUAGCAGAAUAAGCCACGGAAUAUAUACACAAGUGAUGUUUCUAACGCAGCAAAACCCGGGGCUUCAGUGGUUUUUCCUCUCAUUGCUAUCAGCCAGCAGGUUUUAUGAUAUUUGGCCACAAAACCUCAUCCCUCGGCGGGUCCAGCUGGUGCAGGAACGCCGUCUGCUCUGACAGCGCCGGGUUUGCUUAUCAGCUCCCUAUAAAACAUCAAAUCGGAUUUAGGGGCUCGAUCCUUUUCUUCGGUGUGCUCCCCAGCCCGCUGCCGGCGUGUCUGAAGUUCCGCCUGGGAUUCUCCAAGGAAUAUUUGAUGGGAUUUGGUGCCGUCAAUCCUUUUGUUGGAGAGGACCGUUUGGGGUUGGGGCUUAUUUGGUAUCUGGGUUUGUGCUGUUAAAACCCCGUUAAAACCCCACUCGUGCACCUACACAGCAGCAUCUGAAUUACAGAACCACCCUAUAACACAACUGUGGUGCUAAAGGCGGAUGAAGAUGAAAACAAACUCGGUGGAUGAUUUAGAUAAAUGUAACUAAUAUUGUUGGCAAGUGCGUAACUCGAGUGACAAACACAUUUUGAGAUUCUGUGAGUAGUGUGUUAAUUACUCGUAAAGACUUAGAAUCAUAGAAUUGUUUUGGUUGAGAAAGACCCUUAAGAUGAUCAAGUCCAACCAUCUCACAUGUGCAGCAACACAUCACCCAAAGCCGGUAGCUGUUGAGGUUGAAUAUACGAAGUUUCCUAGGUAAAGAUCCAACCAGUUCUUUUCUGGUCUUGUGGAAGACAGAGAGCUCAUCAUCAUAGAAUCAUAGAAUCAUUUUGGUUGGAAAAGACCUUUAAGAUUGUUGAGUCCAACCGUUAACCCAACAUUGCCAAGUCCACCUGUAAACCAAGUCCAAGGGGACUGCUGAUGAGAACUGAAUACAGUCCACAUCUAUCACGGAACCAUUUGGGUUGGAAAAGCCCCUCAAGAUCAUAGAGUCCCCAUAACCCACCCCUGUCCCUGCCCCAUGUCCUGAGAACCUCGUGUCUGUCUGUCCAACCUCCAGGGCUGGUGACUCCAGCACUGCCCUGGGCAGCCUGUUCCAAUGCCCCACAGCCCUUUGGGGAAGAAAUUGUUCCCACAUCCAACCUCAACCUCCCCUGGCGCAACUUGAGGCCGUUUCCUCUGCUCCUGGCGCUGCUUUGCUGGGAGGUGCCAGAGCCCGGCCCAGGCUGCCCAGAGCGGGUGUGGAGUCUCCUCUGAGACAUUCAAACCCCCUGGACCCACCUGUGUGAUCUGCUCUGGGACCCUGCGGGAGCAGCUGGGUUGGACUGCAUGAUCUCCAGAGGUCCCUUCAACCCCAGCCAGUCUGGGAUUCUGUGAUUCCCUUUUUGCCAGGAGAAAAUUGAGAAAUUAACAUUUUUGCUUUCGCUCCCAUUCUAUCAUCCAAAGAUUUUGUUAAUGUGUUUAUUUAAAUUAGUCGUGGCGAAAAUACGGUUGUUGCUUCUGCAUUUCGUAGCGAUGACUUUAAGCAAAUCCCCCUUGAGGGAAAGGGCUCACUUGGUGUUACCCAACUCACCCUGUUGGUUUCUCAACAGCUUUGGCAGCGCAAGCAGAACGAGGAUGUGGAUUAACGGGAAUUGCUCUAAUUGAUGCUUGUUUUACAGCAAUGGAUUAAAAAGGUGCUGGAUUUCACCUGCUCACCUUGUGGGGAUAUUGUGGCAGAACCUUCGAGCACCGAGACGCGGAAUCUCCUCCAUAAACGUAACUUCUGGGCACAUUCUUCAGCACCAACCUCUCCUAAAUAACCCUUUGCGUGUUCCCGUGCCUUAACCAUAAAACUUGCCCUUUGCUAUAGAAUAGUUUAAUAUUUUUAAAAGCAUUUAUGUUUUUUUUUAAUGUGGCAACAAAGAGCGUGUUCAAAAGGAUAAUUGAGCUGAAACGCGGGCAGCGAGAUCGUUAUCUACAAACACGAGUAAACGGCUUUAGGAAGGAUUUGCUUCUUCGUUAACUUUGAAAUCUGCUUGUGAUACUUUGCAGUUUUGCUUCUGCUGGUUGACAAAACCCAGCGCUUGGAGGCGUAGCCCACGGUGCUCUCUGCUCCUCGCCUCAAUUCACUUCAGAUUAACCAAAGGAAAACCGUAAAGUCGAAUAGAUUUUGUGUCCGCUGUAGCAAACAUCUGACGUCUGUCAGGAUUCAGAACGUGAAGUGCCGUUGGAACAAGUUUCACGAAGCUUUUUAGCGCUUUGCCCUGGUCUGAGGACCCAGAGUAUAAAAGCAAGGUGUAAAAAGCAGCUUCUCCUCUAGCACUUUGAAGAAUUGUUCGGUAUCUGAAAAGGUGGCACAUCUGCUGAACCCCAGAACAGGUCGGGUUGAAGGGACCCGUGAGGAUCAGCGGCUCCAGCUGCCAUGCAGUGGCUUGGCCAGUGACACCAGCGUUUGAGCUCUUCUGCAUUUAAGUCACUUUUUAUGAAGGUAAAGCAAAUUUUAAAGUGCAUUGCCUGUUCCCAAUUGUAACUUAACAACUCUGGCACUACACCAUGGCCCUGGGAACCUCGUCUAAACACCUUUUCAACCCUCCAGGGCUGGUGACUCCAGCACUGCCCUGGGCAGCCUGUUCCAAUGCCCCACAGCCCUUUGGGGAAGAAAUUGUUCCCACAUCCAACCUCAACCUCCCCUGGUGCAACUUGAGGCCGUUUCUCUCGUGCCAUCACUUGUUCCAUGAGAGCAGAGACAAUUAAGGGCUGCUUUUCACUUUAACUCAAGACAUUAUUGGUGUUAUUGUGCUAAACCAUCUGGACAAAACACCUUUGUGGAGUGAACAUUACAUCUGUGAAGUGUGGCUGGAAGUCAGGGGUUCAACGGGGUGCGGGAGUUGAGGCUGUGGAUGAACAACGUCCGGUAGCAAGGAUCCGAGUCUGAAAAGUCACCUGGACGUGUGAAUCCUUCCCCCUUUUCUUUAGUUAAGAGAAAUGAGGAGGAAAUGAGCUGGCAAAGAGAGAAUCCAGGUGAGCUUUGGGCUGGGUAAGAAGUGCCUUUCUUUUCGUACUCCAAGCAUCUUUACGAUAUUUUGCCUACUAGUAAAAACUGUGGCUGGAAAACCUCUUUUCAAGUUAUUGGUCCAAGUAAGAAAUGGUUCUUCAUCAGGUGGGGAAGACAAAGUCAGUCUGGGUCUUGAACAUCAACUGAUUUCUAGGGUGAGGCUGGAGAUGAGUGCUAAGAGGCCCCUCAAACUCUCUUUUCCAGAGGAAUCUGGAGCAGCGAUGAAUGGAGCGCGGCUCUAGGACAGGGAACGUGUCUCGGUUAAUGAGAAAACAUCCAGAGAUGAACUGUCGCAACCAGCUUUUGAUAUUCCACAUAUAUGUGUGUGUAGAGUUUGGGGUCUGGGUUAUAGCCCAUUCAUACGAUUUGAGCGCCUUGGACAAACCACAAAUGUGUUUUGUUAAAGGAUUUGGCCAAUUUCAUUAUGCCUCUCAAUACAGAGUAGUAUUUUUACAUUGUGGUGGAUCCUAAAGACUUAAGCUGAUGGAAGAACCUUGCGCUGGACGUGACCAAAGCCUGGGCUGGUUUUUCUGGGCUGACAACGAGUGGAGUUUUUGCACCAAACUUUACCAACCUGGUGUUGCAAGUGGCUGGUGAAGGUCUCGCUGCAGCCCCAUCCAAUGAACAAGAGCUUGGAGCGGGUGUAAUUAAGAGCUGCUGUAAUUAGCUCUGAGCUGCCCACGCCCAGGGCUCCUCUCCACAAAUCACCAACAAUGGGGGUGAGAAGCGGUUUGAGCUGCUUUGGAAGGGAAGCGUUGAGGCUGCUGAUUAGUUCUGUAUUAAGUUUUAAAAGUCACUCUAGUACUGCUUCAUUUUUUCCAAUUAGAUAAAAUCUGGAAAUACCUUUGCAGCUUGGCUUUGUUCACAGCUCUUAAAUAAUAAAUCAGCGCCGCUAUUGUUAAACAA